GAUGAAGAACGUAGCGAAAUGCGAUAAGUAAUGUGAAUUGCAGAAUUCAGUGAAUCAUCGAAUCUUUGAACGCACAUUGCGCCCGCUAGUAUUCUGGCGGGCAUGACUGUCCGAGCGUCAUUUCAACCCUCAAGCCCCCGGGCUUGGUGUUGGGGAUCGGCGAGCCUCCGCGCCCGCCGUCCCCUAAAUCUAGUGGCGGUCUCGCUGUAGCUUCCUCUGCGUAGUAGCACACCUCGCACUGGGAAACAGCGCGGCCACGCCGUUAAACCCCCAACUUCUGAACGUUUGACCUCGGAUCAGGUAGGAAUACCCGCUGAACUUAAGCAUAUCAAUAAGCGGAGGA
rnacentral:misc_RNA from 1 species